CGGCUGCAAAGAGGACGAGCCCAGAUGCACGUCAGGGGCUCCCUCCCACAUCCUACCUGCUCAGGCAGCCCCACCCUCCUGCAGUACAGCUCCCUGUGGCUCUGGUUCCCCCUCAGAAACACCCCUGCUACCCUGCUAAGCUUUGGCCAACACUGCACCCUGUCCCAGUGCAGCUCUGGUGACCACACCCCCAGGGCACACCCUCCUACAGAGCAUUCCUGAAAAAGGCUAGACACCUGCCAGCCUGCUCCGUGGGGAGCCUCUGCUCCAUUCUCCAAGGUCUCCACCCAGGGAUGCCUGAGGAACCAGCAUCCAGGCCUGGCCCACCUCCCUGUUCAGACUCCAUGUUCUAUGACAAGGAUGGCAACCGGGAUUCACAUCAGCGGCCAGCAAGUAGCUACGAGGAGCACAUGGGGAGGCCUGGGCUGUGCAGGAUACUCCAGAGCCACAGCCACCCCCACUC